rnacentral:rRNA from 1 species
UACGUAGGGUGCGAGCGUUAAUCGGAAUUACUGGGCGUAAAGCGCGCGCAGGCGGCCCUUUAAGUCUACCCGUGAAAUGCCGGAGCUCAACUCCGCGCACGCCGGGGGAUACUGGGGGGCUGGAGACAUGUAGAGGCAAGCGGAAUUCCGGGUGUAGCGGUGGAAUGCGUAGAGAUCCGGAAGAACACCUGAGGCGAAGGCGGCUUGCUGGGCAUGAUCUGACGCUGAGGCGCGAAAGCGUGGGGAGCAAACAGG